GACGAACGCUGGCGGCGUGCUUAACACAUGCAAGUCGAACGGUAAGGCCCUUCGGGGUACACGAGUGGCGAACGGGUGAGUAACACGUGGGUGAUCUGCCCUGCACUUCGGGAUAAGCCUGGGAAACUGGGUCUAAUACCGGAUAGGACUCCUGGCUUCAUGGUUGGGGGUGGAAAGCUUUUGCGGUGUGGGAUGGGCCCGCGGCCUAUCAGUUUGUUGGUGGGGUAAUGGCCUACCAAGGCGACGACGGGUAGCCGGCCUGUGAGGGUGACCGGUCACACUGGGACUGAGAUACGGCCCAGACUCCUACGGGAGGCAGCAGAGGGGAAUAUUGCACAAUGGGCGCAAGCCUGGUGCAGCGACGCCGCGUGAGGGAUGACGGCCUUCGGGUUGUAAACCUCUUUCAGCUAUGACGAAGCGCAAGUGACGGUAGUAGCAGAAGAAGGACCGGCCAACUACGUGCCAGCCGCCGCCGUAA
rnacentral:rRNA from 1 species